AAAAUAAGCCUUUAAAAAUUCAGCAUUCAUUGUCUGUGUGCAGAGUUGACAUCAAGAGAUUUUGGAGGCAUAAUUUCCUGGUGUUUGGACAGCUGGUGAUCGUUGGUCCCGGAGCCCUA